AGUAAUAUGUCUGAUUAAAAGUGUUAAAUUGUAAAUUUAUUUAUAGAAUUAUUAUUCUUAUUACUA
rnacentral:tRNA from 1 species